AGACGUCUACAUUAGACUACCCCCGUAGUCCCAGCCGUAAACUAUGCUCGCUAGGUGUCAGGCAUGGCGCGACCGUGUCUGGUGCCGCAGGGAAGCCGUGAAGCGAGCCACCUGGGAAGUACGGCCGCAAGGCUGAAACUUAAAGGAAUUGGCGGGGAGCACAACAACGGGUGGAGCCUGCGGUUUAAUUGGACUCAACGCCGGGAAGCUCACCGGAUAAGACAGCGGAAUGAUUGCCGGGCUGAAGACUCUGCAUGACUAGCUG
rnacentral:rRNA from 1 species